rnacentral:rRNA from 1 species
GACGAACGCUGGCGGCGUGCCUAAUACAUGCAAGUUGAGCGCUGAAGGUUGGUACUUGUACCAACUGGAUGAGCAGCGAACGGGUGAGUAACGCGUGGGGAAUCUGCCUUUGAGCGGGGGACAACAUUUGGAAACGAAUGCCAAUACCGCAUAAAAACUUUAAACACAAGUUUUAAGUUUGAAAGAUGCAAUUGCAUCACUCAAAGAUGAUCCCGCGUUGUAUUAGCUAGUUGGUGAGGUAAAGGCUCACCAAGGCGAUGAUACAUAGCCGACCCGAGAGGGUGAUCGGCCACAUUGGGACUGGGACACGGCCCAAACUCCUACGGGAGGCAGCAGUAGGGAAUCUUCGGCAAUGGACGAAAGUCUGACCGAGCAACGCCGCGGGAGGGAAGAAGGGUUUCGGAUCGGAAAACUCUGUUGGUAGAGAAGAACGUUGGUGAGAGUGGAAAGCUCAUCAAGUGACGGUAACUACACAGAAAGGGACGGCUAACUACGUG